rnacentral:rRNA from 1 species
CCUACGGGUGGCUGCAGUGAGGAAUAUUGGUCAAUGGGCGGGAGCCUGAACCAGCCAAGUCGCGUGAGGGAUGACGGCCCUAUGGGUUGUAAACCUCUUUUGCCGGGGAGCAAAGUGCAGCACGUGUGCGGGUUGGAGAGUACCCGGAGAAAAAGGAUCGGCUAACUCCGUGCCAGCAGCCGCGGUAAUACGGAGGAGGCGAGCGUUAUCCGGAUUUAUUGGGUUUAAAGGGUGCGUAGGCGGACGCUUAAGUCAGCGGUAAAAUUGCGGGGCUCAACCUCGUCGCGCCGUUGAAACUGGUUUCCUUGAGUGUGCGUGCAGUACGCGGAAUGCGUGGUGUAGCGGUGAAAUGCAUAGAUAUCACGCAGAACUCCGAUUGCGAAGGCAGCGUACCGGCGCCCAACUGACGCUGACGCACGAAGGCGUGGGUAUCGAACAGGAUUAGAUACCCUGGUAGUC